UCUAUUGGUCCUCUAUUGGUCCUCUAUUGGUCCUCUAUUGGUCCUCUAUUGAUCCUCUAUUGGUCCUCUAUUGAUCCUCUAUUGGUCCUCUAUUGGUCCUCUAUUGAUCCUCUAUUGGUCCUCUAUUGGUCCUCUAUUGAUCCUCUAUUGGUCCUCUAUUGGUCCUCUAUUGAUCCUUUAUUGGUCCUCUAUUGGUCCUCUAUUGAUCCUCUAUUGAUCCUCUAUUGAUCCUUUAUUGGUCCUCUAUUGGUCCUCUAUUGUCUGUCUGCUAUUAUUUAGAGUUGUUGUCCGAAUAUCUUUACUUCACAUGACAAACAAGAGUCAUUAGCCUCACAUGUCAAAAUGUUAUUAUCUGCAAAACAGAACCACAAAUAACUAAUGUUCCUCUCUCUCUCGCUCCCUCUUUCUCCCCCUUUCUUUGUACAGGCUGAUUCCAACAAGACCAGGAUUGAUGAAGCCAACCAGCGGGCCACAAAGAUGCUGGGCAGUGGCUAAGCUCCCAGAGCACGUUGCUUCUCCCGCAAGCGCAGUUUGUCACAAGGCGCAAACAUGCUUUUAUCAUGCUGCUGUCAUGCUCCUUAUUUUGAUGUUGUCAUGACGAAUGAAGAAGAGGAAACAAACAAGAUGAUAACAAACGAUAGUAAAUUCAAAAAGCACUUACGUACAAUCACUGUCUUUGGUUCCUUUCCCUCACCGCAAUCAUCAUGAGUUACUGUUUAGACAAUGUGCAACUAGAUUUGCUGUAAUAGACAUUGCAUUCCAAGUGAUGUGAAUUGUGCGUUCUGCAUGACAAAUGGUAGAUUUUAGAGUCAUAUACAUAAAACCUGUCUUAAAAAUAUAUAAAAACAAUAACAUGGCAGUAGCAAAGUUGACAAAAGCAUGCUCAGUAUUAGGACACAGUUGAACGUUCCAUACUCUCCUGCAAGUUUGCAAUAGUGCCACUAUUCCUGUCAAAAUGUAUUUACAGACUGUGACCAUCGUUGUAAAAUAAUGCAAAAUGAUCUUAACGUGAAGAGAUGAUGAUGGAAGAAUGAGGAUGUGGCUGUAACCGCAAAAAAAUGAUGUUUUUUUCUAAAUGAAUAUGCAGUUCGGUGAAGAUAUGGAAUACGUGCUGAAGGGUGAGCUACUGGUUGUGUGUUGUAUCAUAGAUUUUGGAUGCUCUG
rnacentral:lncRNA from 13 species